rnacentral:rRNA from 1 species
GGUCUCCGUUGGUGAACCAGCGGAGGGAUCAUUGCUGGAACGCGCCCCAGGCGCACCCAGAAACCCUUUGUGAACUUAUACCUUUUGUUGCCUCGGCGCUGCUGGUCUCUAGUAGGCCCCUCACUUCGGUGAGGAAAAGGCACGCCGGCGGCCAAAUCAACUCUGUUUUUACACUGAAACUCUGAGAAAAAACACAAAUGAAUCAAAACUUUCAACAACGGAUCUCUUGGUUCUGGCAUCGAUGAAGAACGCAGCGAAAUGCGAUAAGUAAUGUGAAUUGCAGAAUUCAGUGAAUCAUCGAAUCUUUGAACGCACAUUGCGCCCUCUGGUAUUCCGGAGGGCAUGCCUGUUCGAGCGUCAUUUCAACCCUCAAGCAUUGCUUGGUGUUGGGGCACUGCUUCUAACGAAGCAGGCCCUGAAAUCUAGUGGCGAGCUCGCCAGGACCCCGAGCGCAGUAGUUAAACCCUCGCUCUGGAAGGCCCUGGCGGUGCCCUGCCGUUAAACCCCCAACUUCUGAAAAUUUGACCUCGGAUCAGGUAGGAAUACCCGCUGAACUUAAGCA